ensembl:lncRNA
ACAAAUCUUGAAUUCAACAUCCUCUGAAUGACUAGAUAUCUUAUUUUGUUGUCGCAAAGUUUAUGAUUUAUUAAUGUGUAGGCUUUUUGGGGGGUUUAAAUCACUGUUACGUCCCCUUUUUGGGACUGUGUCGGUGGGGUGGGGGGGGGGGGGGCACAGGACAGUCAAACAAUAUGUGAAAAGACAAAAGUAGGAGUAACGGUUUUUUAAAAAGCUUUUAUUAAGUGGGAGAGGUUGCGACAGUUGUGGUUGUGUUGUUAAACUUAAAAUCACUUUAUUUAUUAAAUAUAAAAUGAAAUGAAAUAAAAAGAAGUCACAAGAAAAAAUUCAUAUUCAUAUAAAAUUCAUAUAUUGUCUACGAGGGUGGUUCACUUAAAUCACUUUCUUUAUAAAAUAUAAAAUGAAAUUAAGGCUGCAAGCAGCGUUGGACGGGUCCUCUCUACUCCACACGUCGGGGCACCUGCCGGACGGCUGGAAACGCAGCAAGAACCCCUGCGGCAUCUGAUUAAUUUGCGAGGAUAAAGGUAUCAAUCAAUAGUUACAUAAUAAUUACACUUCAGGUUGAUAGUAAAACCACCUCCGGGUGUCACUCAGUGAUAACCAGGACAUUCUGAUGUACCAUUACAAAAUUAAAGCCUCUCAAAAUACCAUACAUGAGCAAAAAUCUCAAUCACAAGACUACACCUAAUCAAUUUCAGAUUAGAUUUAAAAGGGAAAAAAAUCAAUAGUUACACAGUAUUUCCAUUUCAGGCAGAGAGUACACAUCGCAAACGUGUUACUCUGUGAUAAUCAGGACAUUCUGAUGAACCAUUUUAGAAAUUAAAGCCUCUCGAAAUGCCACCUUUGUUUUUUACUGGAUACUAGAACAUUUGACUUCCUGUUACCAGUAGGUGGAACUAUGACUUUUAUUAAACUUUACAUCUCUUCAGGCCCAGAGUCUCAUCAAACAUGUGUAAAUUGGAAAUAAUACGAUGAUGUGGAGUAGAGUUACAACGGUUGUUCUCGGCGAAGGAUCAGCUUUGCCGAUGCACCAUCUCGCCACCGAUUAUCGGAUUUGUAUAAUAUUGACAGUGAAGCAUUAUCAAGGUCUUAACUCUCUGCUAAGAGAUUUUGAGAGGGAUCAGAUUAACCUUUGAAGAGCAUAACCUGUGAGGGGCAGGGUGUAAAAUAAAAAACAUUCAACUUCCUGUUGCUAACAGGUGGUGCUAUAAGGUUAAAAAUGAUCAUAUGGAUGUCUACAGGGUGAGAAGUUCAUGCUAUAUGAGAAAUAAUGGAGCAGAUUAGAUAAAGUAUGGUUGAGUCAAAACAACUUCAAAGAAGGGACUGGGAACUUGCACCCAAAGUUAUCGAAAGGUCACUUUUCAACCGGCUCGAUCAUUUCCCAAGACUUUCAGGAAAAGAACACAUAAAGCUACAUGAACUAGCCGACCUGUUAAUGGAGGUGCAGGGAGCCAAGGAGGACGGCUACCUCCCAGGCCUGUCUUACCUGGACACCGCAAGAGGGAUCGAACCCAUAGUUGCAAAACUGCCUUAUGGUCUUCAAGAAAGGUGGGUAUCCGCCGGUUCAAAGCACAAGGAUGAAAAUAAUGGACGAUUUCCCCCAUUCGAGUUCUUUGGAAGUUUUAUAAACUACGAGGCACGGAAAAGAAAUGACCCUAGCUUCAUUCUUCAAGGUACUAUCAGCUUACCUGCAAGGCCUGAAAGGCCCUCCUUUAAAAGCAACCAAACCCCUAUAUUAGUUCACAAGAUAGAUAUCGUCUGAACACACUCAAACAACCUAAAAGGUACCAGCGAUCCAAACAAAACCUGUCCAAUACAUGCUAAACCCCACCCACUCAUUGGACUAGGUCCUAGAGGAAAGAAAAAACUUCCUCAAGGCAAAAGGAAUCUGCUUCAAAUGCUGCGGUUCAACUACCCACUUGGCAAGGGACUGUCCAACUACAGUUAAGUGUACAGAGUGUGAUAGCACCUACCACGACGCUGCUAUGCAUCCGGGUCCUGCACUUCAAGACAGGGCUCCCUCAACCUCACCACACAACGGCGGGGAGGGAGAAGAGAGCAGCAAUUCCGAAGCUGUCGUCAGCGCAAGCUGUACCGAAGUUUGCGGAGCACGACAAGUCGGCAAGUCAUGUUCCAAGAUUUGCUUAGUGAAGGUAUAUCACAAACGUCAACCAGACAAAGCCAUCAAGGCCUACGCCAUAUUGGACAACCAAAGUAACCGAUCGUUAGCAAGGUCUAAUUUCUUUGAGCUUUUCGACAUUAAGUGCGAACCAUAUUCCUAUUCGUUGAGGACGUGUUCCGGCACAACGGAAACAUCUGGACGUAGGGCCGAAGAGUUUGUGGUGGAGUCACUCGACAGCAGGGUCAUAAUCCCUCUACCACCCCCUAUUGAGUGCAAUGACAUUCUCGACAAUCGGUCAGAAAUCCCAACGCCAAACGCAGCUCUAUGUCACCCUCACCUUCGCAAGGUAGCGGAACACAUUCCAGACGUUGACCCCACAGCAGAGAUUCUCCUGUUACUCGGCAGAGAUAUCAUUAGAGGUCACAAGGUACGGGAACAAAUCAAUGGUCCACACAAUGCCCCAUUUGCCCAACGCCUAGAUCUGGGCUGGGUGCUAGUAGGAGAAGUCUGCUUGGGGAACGCACACAAGCCUACAGUUAGCACCUUCAAGACAGCGGUGCUCGACAAUGGCCGCCCAUUGCUCCUUCGACCUUGCACCAGUUUUCUACAAGUCAAAGAAACAGUUCCUUGUAGCAGGGAGGCAAGACACAUCUCCAGUAAGGUUACAGGAGAGGUGUUGGGACAAACUGUCUUCAAUCACACAGAAAACGACAACAGGUUGGCAUCCUCAUUUGAAAACAAGGUUUACUUGAAGCUUUUCUUGAAGGACAAAGAAGUCUUCAGGAAUGAGUCACAAAGUUGGGUAGCUCCACUCCCAUUCCGACAACCAAGACAAUACUUACCUAACAACCGGGAACAGGCAGCGCAGCGCUUUGCAUCACUUCAAAGAAGCCUGAGUAGGAAGCCAGAUACACAACAGCAGUUUGUAGCCUUCAUGGGAAAAAUAUUGGAGAACGACCACGCCGAGGUCGCACCACCGCUGGCAGAAGUCACAGCAAUUUUAAAUGCGAGGCCACUAAUCCCGGUUUCAAAUGAUCCCGAGGAUUCAUUCAUGUUGUCGCCAUCAAUGCUCCUAACUCAGAAAGGGGGAGUCCCUUCCCCACCCGGGGAUUUCACAGACAAAGACCUCCUCACCAAGCAGUGGAGACAAGUUCAAUCGCUGGCCAACUGGUUCUGGAAUUGUUGGAGUUGUGAGUACUUGCCCACCUUGCUUCGCAGGAGGAAAUGGCACAAGUCUUACCAAAACCUUCAGGAGGGAGACAUUGUCCUUCUUAAAGACACUCAAGUAGCCCGUAACCACUGGCCAACGGCUAUAAUCACAAAGACCUUUCCUGGAAAAGAUGGGAGAGUGAGGAAAGUGGAAUUAAGGACCACAGUUCAGGGAUCUUCAAAGACUUUCCUCAGACCAUACUCUGAAGUCAUUUUACUUUUAGUUAAGGAUUGAUGUACACAAACACACUCAUUUCCUAGUUUGGUGGUACUAGUAAUCUCACUGAGGCCAGGCAGGGAGUGUAUUGCCUUUUAGGCAUUAGGCUUUUAUUUUGUACAAUCUUUUAUUUUGAAAUGGUUUUAUGACUUAAGGGUUCCAGGGGUUAGUUUCCUGUUAGUGGUUAGAGAAAGAUGGUAGAAUUAGCCAACAUGCUUUCGUCAUCCAUGGCAAUCCACAUCGUAAAUGCUGCAGAAGAAAUGUCGUAAGUUGAUAAUUUCAUUGUUUUAAUUGUAAUGUCAAAGUUAAGAUGCAUAUUUACAGUAAAAGGGGAUAUGAUGACUGUAAUUAGAAACGUUUUAUUCACAUAUGUUUACGUAGGACUAAACAAUUUUGUACCUUGUGUUUGUUACAGUUUUCACUCUUCUGUGUCUGUGACAUGAUAUAAAGCGCCACAGAUAACAGCUUGAGAAGCUUACUACGACUCAACUCGUCACUUGGAGGAAGAGUUUAGAUAGUUGAAUAGCCGCGGUUGCUACACCGUAGCGAAGACAACAUAACUUCUAUGAAUAAAUUAACGUGCAGGUGAAAAUAUUGUUCAAAGAAAUGCAGAUGCUACAUAGACCAAGGAGAGAAGUCUCAAUCAAACAUACACAUUGAAGCCUCGAGAUGAAAGGAAAGGUUCUCUGGGUAACAGCUUAAGUUGUAUAUGUUGUUCUACAAUGUGAAUUUGUUAAUAUACAUAUGGUUCAAGCACCACAUGUCCAUUGAACAAUUUUUUAAAGUAUUAAUAAUUCUUAAAGCAUGUUAAAAAAUGUUGUGUAUUCACUAAGGAAAGAUUUGAGUAGUUUGUUUAGAGUUGUCAACGUUUGCAAACUAAAAGCUAAACAAACCAAAAAAUCAUUAUCUUUAGGCCUAUUAUCUCAGAUAAUAUUAAAACCAAUCGACUCACGCAUGUUGCAAAUGUUUUAAAGGGAAUAAAGACAAAGACAGUUUAUUUUUUAAAUGCUUUGACCAUUUAUUUGAAAAAAUUCAAAUCACAUAUGAUUUGUGUUGGUCAUUUAUGUUUAUCCUUUAACUUGUUUAUCCCCAGUGCUGUACAACGUAGAGUGUAGUAGAUAAUAUUCUACUUUAACUUUUCUCCUUUGUGUUUAUAUAAAAAGAGUAAACAAAGACAAUACAUUAAUGACUCUUCUAUUGCGCAAUGUUCCCAGAUGAUUCAUUUCAAAUUAAAAAGCCUGUGGUGAGCCAAAGGAAAGUAGUUCUAAUGAGCCCAGUUUGUGUUGCCAACACAGGAGAAUUUUGGUUAAUUACCUUAACUUUAACAAACAAAGCUAUUACUGUACACACUUCAGACUAAUUAAUCUCAGUUGCCCCUAUAAGGAGUAAAGACAAUUAAAAAUGAGGGGAAAUUACACCUGCUUUUAAAGGGCCCCAAGAGAGAUGGUAGAAGUUGUUUCCUUGGCACUCCACCAACCGUCGUCUGACUACCUUUUGUUUCAAUGAAUAAAAUGUUUAGGCACUCAACUAAUUGUCUUUUCUUUGUUUUGUAAG